AGGAGCCUCAGAGGCGUG
rnacentral:misc_RNA from 1 species